UAGGGAGUCUUCCACAAUGGACGCAAGUCUGAUGGAGCAACGCCGCGUGAGUGAAGAAGGUCUUCGGAUCGUAAAGCUCUGUUGUUGGUGAAGAAGGAUAGAGGCAGUAACUGGUCUUUAUUUGACGGUAAUCAACCAGAAAGUCACGGCUAACUACGUGCCAGCAGCCGCGGUAAUACGUAGGUGGCAAGCGUUGUCCGGAUUUAUUGGGCGUAAAGCGAGCGCAGGCGGAAUGAUAAGUCUGAUGUGAAAGCCCACGGCUCAACCGUGGAACUGCAUCGGAAACUGUCAUUCUUGAGUGCAGAAGAGGAGAGUGGAACUCCAUGUGUAGCGGUGGAAUGCGUAGAUAUAUGGAAGAACACCAGUGGCGAAGGCGGCUCUCUGGUCUGCAACUGACGCUGAGGCUCGAAAGCAUGGGUAGCGAACAGGAUUAGAUACCCUGGUAGUCCAUGCCGUAAACGAUGAGCGCUAGGUGUUGGGGACUUUCCGGUCCUCAGUGCCGCAGCAAACGCAUUAAGCGCUCCGCCUGGGGAGUACGACCGCAAGGUUGAAAC
rnacentral:rRNA from 1 species